GACGUAGGGCGCGAGCGUUGUCCGGAUUUAUUGGGCGUAAAGCGCGUGUAGGCGGCUUUGCAAGUCGGGUGUGAAAGCCCUCGGCUCAACCGAGGAAGUGCGCCCGAAACUGCAGAGCUUGAGUGCCGGAGAGGGUGGCGGAAUUCCCCAAGUAGAGGUGAAAUUCGUAGAUAUGGGGAGGAACACCGGUGGCGAAGGCGGCCACCUGGACGGUAACUGACGCUGAGACGCGAAAGCGUGGGGAGCAAACAGG
rnacentral:rRNA from 1 species